rnacentral:rRNA from 1 species
UGGGGAAUAUUGGGCAAUGGGGGAAACCCUGACCCAGCAACGCCGCGUGAAGGAUGAAGGUUUUUGGAUUGUAAACUUCUGUCCUAUGGGAAGAAAAAAAUGACGGUACCAUGGGAGGAAGCCCCGGCUAACUACGUGCCAGCAGCCGCGGUAAUACGUAGGGGGCGAGCGUUGUCCGGAAUUAUUGGGCGUAAAGGGCGCGUAGGCGGCACUGCAAGUCAGAUGUGAAAUCCCUGGGCUUAACCCAGGACGUGCAUUUGAAACUGCAGAGCUUGGAGUGCAGGAGAGGUAAGUGGAAUUCCUAGUGUAGCGGUGAAAUGCGUAGAUAUUAGGAGGAACACCAGUGGCGAAGGCGACUUACUGGACUGCAACUGACGCUGAGGCGCGAAAGCGUGGGGAGCAAACA